AUUGAACGCUGGCGGCAUGCCUUACACAUGCAAGUCGAACGGUAACAGGUUAAGCUGACGAGUGGCGAACGGGUGAGUAAUGUAUCGGAACGUGCCCAGUCGUGGGGGAUAACUACUCGAAAGAGUGGCUAAUACCGCAUACGACCUGAGGGUGAGAGCGGGGGACCGUAAGGCCUCGCGCGAUUGGAGCGGCCGAUAUCAGAUUAGCUAGUUGGUGGGGUAAAAGCCCACCAAGGCGACGAUCUGUAGCUGGUCUGAGAGGACGACCAGCCACACUGGGCCUGAGACACAGCCCAGACUCCUACGGGAGGCAGCAGGGGGGAAUUUUGGGCAAUGGACGCAAGUCUGAUCCAGCCAUGCCGCGUGCGGGAAGAAGGCCUUCGGGUUGUAAACCGCUUUUGUCAGGGAAGAAACGAGUUUCUCUAAUACAGAGACUUAAUGACAGUACCUGAAGAAUAAGCACCGGCUAACUACGUGCCAGCCGCCGCCGUAAGAC
rnacentral:rRNA from 1 species